UACAGAGGGUGCAAACGUUGCUCGGAAUCAUUGGGCGUAAAGCGCACGUAGGUGGCUCAGCAAGCGGGGAGUGAAAGCCCUCGGCUCAACCGAGGAAGUGCUUUCCGAACUACUGAGCUUGAAUACCGGAGAGGAUCGCGGAAUUCCCGGUGUAGAGGUGAAAUUCGUAGAUAUCGGGAGGAACACCAGUGGCGAAGGCGGCGAUCUGGACGGAUAUUGACACUGAGGUGCGAAAGCGUGGGGAGCAAAC
rnacentral:rRNA from 1 species